GGGAGACGCUUGAAUCUCAUUAAGAAGGGGAAGUAGAAAGUUUAACUUUUUUUGCUUAGUAUUUUUGCUAUGAUGACUUAAGUAAAAUAUUAAUUUUAGCCUGUUUCCAAUUUAUUUUUUUCUCGAUGGUUAAAUAAGAUAAUGGUAGAUGAGACUCCAUUACCUUACUUUGGACAGUGCUAUUUAAAUGAAUAAGAAAGAGGUUGAAAAGCUUGUUUUGUCAGGAUUCAAUGUUAUAUACCUAGAAAAUGUUCAAUAAAUCCUUCAUAUUUUAGAAGUUGAAUUUAUAAUUUAGUACAGUAUGAUAAGUCACAUAAUUCUAGCCUUCCAUAAACACCAAGAGAACACGUCAAAUUUAUCCAUUGAUGAAAAAUAAAUAGAUUAGCAAAAUAACUAAAUUCUCACAUUUUUAUUUUGACUCAAACAAUAUUCUUGAGUUUUAAACAAAUGUGCUUGUUUGAAGUGGUGAUCCCUAGGGCUUCCAGUCCUUCAUCCUCAUGAGUGAAGUGCACAAUUGUUACAUUGCACAAGGACCUAAGUAGAUAUAACCUAAUCACGUAGCCUUUUACAAAGUUAUCUGCACCUUGUGGCAAAAGAAGAAUUGAGAGAAGUAGGUGUGAGAAAAAUUUGAUGGGAGACUCCCUUACUAUAAUGGAGUGGAUCCUGGAACCCAAGGGUUAAGAGCUAAGAGCUGUCCCUGGCCAACAGACAGGAGGAAAUGCUCUUACAUCUGCAAAGAACUGAGUUCUGGAAGUGGCAGGUGAAUCAAAGCAGAACACUUUGCCCCAGGUUCUUGAGUUAAGCGUUAGCUAGACCUUGGUGUGUAUGGGCAGUGAACCUACCUGAACCAUGUAGACUUCAUUGUGCUUUGUAUAUUCUUGUAUGUGUGUGUAUGUGGCAGCCAGGGGUUAACACUGGACUCUUCCACAGUCUCGUGCUUAGUGUUUGAGAUAGUCUUGAUAAAUCUUGAGCUCACAGAUUCACUAGGCAGUCUGGCUAAUGAGCCCCACGUAUCUUCUGUCUCCAUACUCCCAUAAUUGCUGGGAUUAUGGGUAUGGACCACAGCCCCCAGCUUUUCUGUUUGUGAGUGCUGGGGACUGAGGUGUUGGAUAGCUGUUACUGUAGGGGACGAGUCAUCUCUCCAGCCCUACCUUGUUGGUCUUCAGACAAUAAAAAUCCUAUCGAAUG
rnacentral:lncRNA from 1 species